rnacentral:rRNA from 1 species
CGUGUAGGCGGUCGGUUAAGUCUGAUGUGAAAGCCCCGAGGCUCAGCUUCGGAAGUGCAUCGGAAACUAGCUGGCUGGAGCGCGAUAGAGGAGGGUGGAAUUCCUGGUGUAGCGGUGAAAUGCGUAGAUAUCAGGAGGAACACCGGCGGCGAAGGCGGCCCUCUGGAUCGUUGCUGACGCUGAGACGCGAAAGCGUGGGGAGCAAACAGGAUUAGAUACCCUGGUACGUCCACCGCUGUAAACUAUGGGUACUAGGUGUUCGGGGUAUUGACCCCCCUGAGUGCCGCAGUUAACGCAUUAAGUACCCCGCCCUGGGGCUACGGCCGCGAAGGUUAAA